rnacentral:rRNA from 1 species
UGGGGAAUUUUGCACAAUGGGGGAAACCCUGAUGCAGCGACGCCGCGUGAUUUAGAAGGCCUUCGGGUUGUAAAAAUCUUUUUUACGGGAUGAAAAUGACAGUACCGUAAGAAUAAGGUCCGGCUAAAUACGUGCCAGCAGCCGCGGUAUACGUAUGGACCGAGCGUUGUCCGGAAUCAUUGGGCGUAAAGGGUACGUAGGCGGCCUAGUAAGUUAGAAGUGAAAUAAUAUAGCUCAACUAUAUAAAGCUUUUAAAACUGCUAGGCUUGAGAGAUGGAAGGGAAAGUGGAAUUCCUAGUGUAGCGGUGAAAUGCGCAGAUAUUAGGAAGAAUACCGGUGGCGAAGGCGACUUUCUGGUCAUCAUCUGACGCUGAGGUACGAAAGCGUGGGUAGCAAACAGG